rnacentral:rRNA from 1 species
ACGCUCGACACCUACGGGGGGCAGCAGUGGGGAAUAUUGCACAAUGGGGGAAACCCUGAUGCAGCGACGCCGCGUGAGUGAAGAAGUAUUUCGGUAUGUAAAGCUCUAUCAGCAGGGAAGAAGAUGACGGUACCUGAGUAAGAAGCCCCGGCUAACUACGUGCAGCAGCCGCGGUAAUCUGAGCGGGCUGGCAAGGC